UUGGAGGGCAAGUCUGGUGCCAGCAGCCGCGGUAAUUCCAGCUCCAAUAGCGUAUAUUAAAGUUGUUGCAGUUAAAAAGCUCGUAGUUGAAUUUUGGGUCUGGCCGGGCGGUCCGCCCUCCGGGUGAGUACUGUUCCGACGUCGGGCCUAUCCUUCUGGUGAGUCGGCAUGUCCUUUAUUGGGUGUGUCGGGGAACCAGGACCAUUACCUUGAAAAAAUUAGAGUGUUCAAAGCAGGCGUAUGCUCGGAUACAUUAGCAUGGAAUAAUGAAAUAGGACGCGUGGUGCUAUUUUGUUGGUUUCUAGAACCGCCGUAAUGAUUAAUAGGGAUAGUUGGGGGCAUUAGUAUUCAAUUGUCAGAGGUGAAAUUCUUGGAUUUAUUGAAGACUAACUUCUGCGAAAGCAUUUGCCAAGGAUGUUUUCAUUAAUCAAGAACGAAAGUUAGGGGAUCGAAGACGAUCAGAUACCGUCGUAGUCUUAACCAUAAACUAUGCCGACUAGGGAUCGGAUGAUGUUAAUUUUUUAAUGACUCAUUCGGCGCCUUACGGGAAAC
rnacentral:rRNA from 1 species